AGUGGCAACACAGUGAACUCAGCUAGGGUUUCCAUCAGUUUUCGCUACUUCGUCGUCGUUUUGUUGUUGUUGUUGAAGAAUGGAUCAAGAUAAAAAAGCGUGUGAGGAAUCUUCAAAAAAUGCUCUGGGUUUGAAGUGUGAGAAGAUUCUGGAAGCAGUUGAUAAUCCAAUUGCAUGCCCCACUCCACAGAAGAACACUGAACCCUUACUCAUCAAAUCGAAAGAGGGACAAACCCAGCUUCCACAAAAAUACUGGACACUUGCAGAUUUGUUUAGUCAUAUGAGUUGUUCACUCAGAUUGCUGCAUCUGCGAAAAAAGACUCCAACUUUUCGAAAUAUUUGCCGCC